CGCGUAGGCGGACAGUUUAGUCAGAGGUGAAAGCCCAGGGCUCAACCUUGGAAUAGCCUUUGAUACUGGCUGUCUUGAGUACGGGAGAGGUGUGUGGAACUCCGAGUGUAGAGGUGAAAUUCGUAGAUAUUCGGAAGAACACCAGUGGCGAAGGCGACACACUGGCCCGUUACUGACGCUGAGGCGCGAAAGCGUGGGGAGCAAACA
rnacentral:rRNA from 1 species